CCUACGGGUGGCAGCAGUGAGGAAUAUUGGUCAAUGGACGAGAGUCUGAACCAGCCAAGUAGCGUGAAGGAUGACUGCCCUAUGGGUUGUAAACUUCUUUUAUAUGGGAAUAAAAUGUUCCACGUGUGGGAUUUUGUAUGUACCCUAUGAAUAAGGAUCGGCUAACUCCGUGCCAGCAGCCGCGGUAAUACGGAGGCUCCGAGCGUUAUCCGGAUUUAUUGGGUUUAAAGGGAGCGUAGGUGGAUUGUUAAGUCAGUUGUGAAAGUUUGCGGCUCAACCGUAAAAUUGCAGUUGAAACUGGCAGUCUUGAGUACAGUAGAGGUGGGCGGAAUUCGUGGUGUAGCGGUGAAAUGCUUAGAUAUCACGAAGAACUCCGAUUGCGAAGGCAGUUCACUGGACUGCAACUGACACUGAGGCUCGAAAGUGUGGGUAUCAAACAGGAUUAGAUACCCCAGUAGUC
rnacentral:rRNA from 1 species